rnacentral:lncRNA from 1 species
CUGGCAAAUGGCAUAACUAUUAAUCCAUUACAUUUUUCAACAAUAAGUAGUUUGUCUAUAUGGCUGGUUAGAUUGAGAGGUGAGGCAGAAAAAAAAACAGUUUUGCAGCGCACGCGCGCCCAGCUCCAUGGAGGCGCACUUCCGUCCACGCGCACGUCAGCAGGUGCAGACAGAGAGAAGUGGGGUCUCGUGGCUUCAUCAUCACUGCAUCAAAAUAACACCGGUAUAUAAUACUUUUACAUCAAUAUAACAUUCUCAGAAGAUGGUAGCAAAACAAAGGAUCCGUAUGGCAAACGAAAAGCACAGCAAAAACAUCACGCAGAGAGGAAACGUUGCAAAGACCCUGGUGAGGCGACGCUUUUCUUCAGGCUGUGUGGGUUCCAUCGUCAGACGAAAGGAGCGACCUCAGGAGGAGAAGUACCCCGUGGGGCCCUGGCUCCUGGCUCUGUUCGUCUUCGUCGUCUGUGGAUCAGCCAUUUUUCAGAUCAUCCAGAGCAUCAGGAUGGGAAUGUGAUCCAGAGGCCCCACCAGACUCCCCUUUCCCCCUCACCAGACCUGGGGCUGCUCGCUACCCUACGUCCCUAACACCUCCAGGAGGCCCGACUCAGGACAGCUCUUUGUCCAUCAGGGAAGGCCUGGGAGAGGAAUGGACCACCCUUCCCCCCUGCCGUCCUCGAUCACGUUUACAGAGUUCCAGGCAGGAAGAUGAAAGCUUUUCUACUGACAGUUUGAACCACAACAACUGGCUGGAUGAACCUUGUACAGUGUGUCUUAUACCUGCUCAUAUGUGUGAGUGUUUGUGUGUAUGAGAGAGUGUGUGCAGUCCAAGAUGUGACUGGCUGCUGACAAUGUGCCAUACUGCUGUGUUUCUAUAUUUAUCUGUGUUGCGUGAGAACCUUUUUUUAAAUAAAUGUGACUUUGUUUGGGAAAUGUCUGGUUUCAGUUCCACUUUGGCUGCUCCUAUCCCAGUGCAUGUUGUCCGCAAAUUAAGCCUGUUUACAGUGUGGUUAAUUUGGGGAUUCCUAGCUAUUUGUUUCCUGGUGUGUGUACAGUACGUGUGUUAUAUACAGUGCAAUCGGAAAGUAUUCAGACCACGCAACUUUUUCCACAUUGUUACGUUACAGCCUUAUUCUAAAUAAAAAAUAAAAAAAUUAUCCUCAGCAAUCUACACACAAUACCCCAUAAUGACAAAGCGAAAAUUGGUUUUAAUACAUUUUUGCUAAUUUAAUUACAAAUAAAAAAC